rnacentral:rRNA from 1 species
CAGCCGCCGCGGUAAAACAGAGGGUGCAAGCGUUAAUCGGAAUUACUGGGCGUAAAGCGCGCGUAGGUGGUUUGUUAAGUUGGAUGUGAAAGCCCCGGGCUCAACCUGGGAACUGCAUCCAAAACUGGCAAGCUAGAGUACGGUAGAGGGUGGUGGAAUUUCCUGUGUAGCGGUGAAAUGCGUAGAUAUAGGAAGGAACACCAGUGGCGAAGGCGACCACCUGGACUGAUACUGACACUGAGGUGCGAAAGCGUGGGGAGCAAACAGGAUUAGAUACCCCUGUAGUCCCUGUCUCUUAUAA